GAAGAACUUGAGCUGUGGCCAUUAUUUGGCAGACACUUCACUGUCGAGGAGCAAGACAAAAUUGUUGGCCGCAUUUUGCAGACCACGGGUGCUGAGGUGCUCCAAUCAAUGUUACUAUGGGUGACUUGUGCACUGACACAGGAUGAACAGAACAACAUGAUGGAUGGAUGCAUGGAAGCAAGCAACUAAAAAUACAAUGCUCAGUGAGCGGCUCAAUGAAUGCUAGAAAGGAACUUCAGGCUAGGAUAGAGAGAGACAUUUUUUCCAGUUUGUUAAAGAGUCAUCACUUUAGUUUUUUUUUCUUUUUUUCUUUUUUCCUUUCUGGGGUCGAAGUCAUCACUUUAGUUUAGCUGUGAAAAAAAUCUAAUGAUUGCCCAUAUUGGUAUAGGCAUUCUGUGUGAAUUAAAUGCAGGGGAAGUUGAGGAGAAACGAAAGCUAGCUCAAGUUGAAAGUGAAGAAGAAUGUAAACAUCCUGCUGUUCCUUCAUUUUUGGAAUAUGUACCCAAUCGCCUGGUAUAGGCUGCGGAAACUUUCGCUUGGAUUUUAGUCUAGAUGGCAUUAUUCAAUUAUCUGAAGCCAUAUUUGAUUGGUGCUACAUUCAGGAAAUAAAGUUUGCGCCUUGUAUCAGGUGCGAACACCUUGACAAUGGGAGCACAUUUCGAUUAAGUCAGAUGGAGACGUCAUUUGCUUUCAGAAAUCUACUCCACUUGAAAGUGAAGAAGAAUUUAAAUAUCCUGAUGAUGUUCCUUC